rnacentral:rRNA from 1 species
UACGGGGGGGGCAAGCGUUGUUCGGAAUUACUGGGCGUAAAGGGCGCGUAGGCGGCUCGCUAAGUCGGAUGUGAAAACUCUGGGCUCAACCCAGAGCCUGCAUUCGAAACUGACGAGCUGGAGUUCUGGAGGGGAAAGCGGAAUUCCUGGUGUAGCGGUGAAAUGCGUAGAUAUCAGGAGGAACACCGGUGGCGAAGGCGGCUUUCUGGACAGAAACUGACGCUGAUGCGCGAAAGCCAAGGGAGCAAACAGG